rnacentral:rRNA from 1 species
CCAGACUCCUACGGGAGGCAGCAGUGAGGAAUAUUGGUCAAUGGACGCAAGUCUGAACCAGCCAAGUAGCGUGCAGGAUGACGGCCCUAUGGGUUGUAAACUGCUUUUAUGUGGGAAUAAAGUGGCGCACGUGUGCGCCAUUGCAUGUACCUCAUGAAUAAGGACCGGCUAAUUCCGUGCCAGCAGCCGCGGUAAUACGGAAGGUCCGGGCGUUAUCCGGAUUUAUUGGGUUUAAAGGGAGUGUAGGCGGUCUGUUAAGCGUGUUGUGAAAUUUAGGUGCUCAACAUUUAACUUGCAGCGCGAACUGUCAGACUUGAGUACACGCAGCGCAGGCGGAAUUCAUGGUGUAGCGGUGAAAUGCUUAGAUAUCAUGAGGAACUCCGAUCGCGAAGGCAGCCUGCGGGAGUGUUACUGACGCUUAAGCUCGAAGGUGCGGGUAUCGAACAGGAUUAGAUACCCUGGUAGUCCGCACAGUAAACGAUGGAUGCCCGCCGUUGGCGCCCUGCGCCUGCGGCCAAGCGAAAGCAUUAAGCAUCCCACCUGGGGAGUACGCCGGCAACGGUGAAACUCAAAGGAAUUGACGGGGGCCCGCACAAG